UACGAAGGGGGCUAGCGUUGUUCGGAUUUACUGGGCGUAAAGGGUACGCAGGCGGCAUGUCAAGUUGGGGGUGAAAUCCCGGGGCUCAACCCCGGAACUGCCUCCAAAACUGGCAAGCUAGAGAUCGAGAGAGGUGAGUGGAAUUCCUAGUGUAGAGGUGAAAUUCGUAGAUAUUAGCAGGAACACCGGUGGCGAAGGCGGCUCACUGGCUCGAUACUGACGCUCAUGUACGAAAGCGUGGGGAGCAAACAGG
rnacentral:rRNA from 1 species